AUUGAACGCUGGCGGCAGGCCUAACACAUGCAAGUCGAGCGAGCGGCGGACGGGUGAGUAAUGUCUGGGAAACUGCCUGAUGGAGGGGGAUAACUACUGGAAACGGUAGCUAAUACCGCAUACCAUCAGAUGUGCCCAGUGGGGAUUAGAUAGUCGGUGGGGUAACGGCUCACCUAGGCGACGAUCCCUAGCUGGUCUGAGAGGAUGACCAGCCACACUGGAACUGAGACACGGCCCAGAAUCCUACGGGAGGCAGCAGUGGGGAAUAUUGCACAAUGGGCGCAAGCCUGAUACAGCCAUGCCGCGUGUGUGAAGAAGGCCUUAGGGUUGUAAAGCACUUUCAGUGGGGAGGCGUUACCCACAGAAGAAGCACCGGCUAACUCCGUGCCAGCAGCCGCGGUAAUUC
rnacentral:rRNA from 1 species